rnacentral:lncRNA from 1 species
UUUUUAAUUUGAAUUCUUAAACAUUUCUAUUUAAUAUUUUUGGCAGAAUUUUGUCCCCCAAAAUUUGAAGGCCAUGGCAAUAGGCCACCUUGCACUUGACCAUAAGAGACCCUGAUUUGAAUCGUAUCUCUUAAAGUUACAACAUUAAGUGGGUGUUUGGUUACCCGGUAGAAAAGUGCAAAAGCACUUUCAUCUUCUCAAAAGUAAUUUUGUGAUGUUUGGUUAUCUUUCACCCUUAUGUUGCUGCUGUGCUUUUGACCAGGCUGAAGCUAUUUUCACAGAAGCUGCUAUUCCUAGCUUCUAGGAAUCGAUUUUCACUUCCUAUGUUUGUUUUUUUCCCAAUUUCUCUUUUUUUGCCCUUGAUUAUGGACUAUACCUUCCCCAUCAUAAGUCCAUGCUUAUAUGAUUUUUUCAAAUCUCCUUUCAAACAUUGAAGACAAAGCUGUUUUUCACCUAUAUCAUUACUCCAUGUUUAUCUGAAUUUACUAAUCUCCUGCAAAAAUUGAAGACAAAGUUGUUUCUUCACCUAAAUCAUAACUUCAUUAAACUCUAAUUUCUUAUUUUGACAGAGUAAACCAAUAGGUUCACCUAAAUCAAAACUUCUAUAUAAAUGAUGGCUCUUCUCCCACCCUCUUAUAUUAAUCUAGUAAUUUUAUUGUCAAUUAAUCAAAAAUAAAUGAAGGAUGAGAAAACUCACAUGUUAAAGUCCAUUUUGGUCUUUUACACAUUUAAAAGCAAUUCUGCCUCAAAACAUCCUAACAACAUUUUUCAUCUAAAUCACUUUUGUUUUAAAGGUAACCAAACAUAAAUCACUUUACAUUCAACUCACUUUUAACCAAAAUUAAUUCUACCAAAAUUAAUUUUUUCCACCGCACAGCCAAACACACGCUAAAACUAUUACCACACCUCUUAAACAAUUUAUUUUUUGAUAGAAUGACAAAGAGAACAAAAAAACAAGGGCAUUAAAAACAAGAAUCAACAUGGGGCAUCAAGCCUCGACACAAUCUUCAAGCUGAGGUGUUUGCCGAAGGGUUUUGUUAACAAGUGCCCUAAAGACGUUGUUUAAGGAACCCAUAAAAAGAAAUUAUGUCUCGAAAAUAUAUGUCAAACACUUGUUGAAGUUAUAAUUGUACAAUUUCCAAUACAAAAGUUGUUACUUUUAGAGGCUUAAACAAUGCCCUUAUAACACUUGUUAACAUUUUCCUUUGCCGAAAGGUCAC